rnacentral:misc_RNA from 1 species
CUUGAUGACCUGGCACCACACACCAAUCUGCCACAAGAGCAGUGGAAUAACAGGAAGAGAAAUGGUGUUUACAGGUUCCUUUUUCUUUUUCCAACAGGAGUUUUUCUAGGAUUCAAUUUCACAAUUCAUGAACUUUUACAUUACAAAUGGAGACUCGUGAACAAAAACUCAAGCAUCAACAUCACUAAAAAGAUCCGUGGAGAACAUAGAGUAAGCUGAAUUAUUGCAGAAAGAAAAGGUACAAAUUCAUAUUGCAAAUAUCAACAAAUAGACAUUUAUUCAAAUCCAAAGGAAUUGGUAAAUUUUUUGUACAAAAAUAUUGACAAAAAGAAAUAGAAAAUACUUCUAUGAGGCUAAUGAAUAAAAAAUUUUUGGUUUACAUGGAGUGUAAACAUUAUAUUCCAAGAUUCAGCUCAAAAAGAUGUUGAAUGCUAGCACUCUGGAAUAAUAAGGGUCAAAGUAGAGAAUGAGAAAUUUGGUGAGAUGAGCAACCAUAAAUGUUAUAAUCAUACUUCGCUAAAUUAACACUGGGCACUUUGUUAUAUAUUUGUAUGAGUGGGCUUGAGUUGUAACAAGAUACAAGUACAGAAUAAGUAAAUAACAGUUUGAACUAUGAAUCCGUGCUUCAUAGAUACGGAAGUGUAGCAUUCCAAAGACAUGAUGUAUCUCUGUUGAUCAAUUUAUGUAUAACCAUCUUGGGAGGAUUUUUCAUGGAUAGCGAAGCACCUGAAGAGUAUAACUUGUUCAGAUAGAAACAACAUGGCAUUUAGACCAAGCACAUUUGUAAUUAUGUCUACAUCAAAGGGGGCCUAUCUAGCUAUCUGAAAUGAAUUAAUGUGAAUUACUUAGCCUUAGAAUGGAGUUAAGAUAAUAAUGCAACACUUCACCUGAACGUUGAGCAAUUGGAUUU